rnacentral:rRNA from 2 species
AAAUCUGCCCAGAAGCAGGGGAUAACACUUGGAAACAGGUGCUAAUACCGUAUAACAACAAAAUCCGCAUGGAUUUUGUUUGAAAGGUGGCUUCCGCUAUCGGUUCUGGAUGAUCCCGCGGCGUAUUAGUUAGUUGGUGAGGUAAAGGCCCACCAAGACGAUGAUACGUAGCCGACCUGAGAGGGUAAUCGGCCACAUUGGGACUGAGACACGGCCCAAACUCCUACGGGAGGCAGCAGUAGGGAAUCUUCCACAAUGGACGAAAGUCUGAUGGAGCAAUGCCGCGUGAGUGAAGAAGGGUUUCGGCUCGUAAAACUCUGUUGUUAAAGAAGAACACCUUUGAGAGUAACUGUUCAAGGGUUGACGGUAUUUAACCAGAAAGCCACGGCUAACUACGUGCCAGCAGCCGCGGUAAUACGUAGGUGGCAAGCGUUGUCCGGAUUUAUUGGGCGUAAAGCGAGCGCAGGCGGUUUUUUAAGUCUGAUGUGAAAGCCUUCGGCUUAACCGGAGAAGUGCAUCGGAAACUGGGAGACUUGAGUGCAGAAGAGGACAGUGGAACUCCAUGUGUAGCGGUGGAAUGCGUAGAUAUAUGGAAGAACACCAGUGGCGAAGGCGGCUGUCUAGUCUGUAACUGACGCUGAGGCUCGAAAGCAUGGGUAGCGAACAGGAUUAGAUACCCUGGGUAGUCCAUGCCGUAAAC